rnacentral:snRNA from 1 species
AUCGCUUCUCGGCCUUUUGGCUAAGAUCAAGUGUAAUUAUACCAUUUGAACCUUAUUUACACUUUUCCACACCAGAGAAACUAUUCUGUAUUUACUCAAGUGUGUCCUAUUCAUUUCACUUAAGCAUAUAGGCUCAUUGUGCAU